rnacentral:misc_RNA from 1 species
AAGUCGUAACAAGGUUUCCGUAGGUGAACCUGCGGAAGGAUCAUUAUCGCAUCUCCGAGGAGGGGUUCGGUCGCGCCCUGCUCCGGUCCAACCGGCCGUGCAGCGGGUUCCCGUCCCCCGACUCAACACCAAAAACCCUGUGCUCCUUCACGGCCAGAGGGUGCCGCCGGCGAAAGCUGCGUGCGCCCGAAGCCGCAUUAAACAAACCCCAGUUCAAAAGAAUGUCGAGCGGACUAUGUGCCGUCUACAAUUGAAACAACUUUCAACAACGGAUCUCUUGGCUCUC